rnacentral:misc_RNA from 1 species
AAGUCGUAACAAGGUUUCCGUAGGUGAACCUGCGGAAGGAUCAUUACCUUUCUGGCUAUUUAAUAGCUUGUCUGGGGGACUGCAGUUUGCAGUUUGCAUGGCAUGUCCUUCCUUGGAACCUUAACAUCCGUGGUUUUUUGCGUACUAUAUGUUUUCCUCGGCGGGCUUGCUUGCCGGUUGGACAAACUAAAACUCUUUGCAAUUGCAAUCAGCGUCUGAAUUAUAUAAUAAUUACAA